rnacentral:rRNA from 1 species
GACGAACGCUGGCGGCGUGCUUAACACAUGCAAGUCGAACGAAGUGGCGAAAGGGUGAGUAAAGCGUAAUAAACCUGCCCUUCAGAGGGGGACAACAGUUGGAAACGACUGCUCAUACCGCAUACUGAAGGAGGGGCUUUCGUCUGAUUAGCUGGUUGGAGGGGUAACGGCACACCAAGGCGAUGAUCAGUAGCCUGUCUGAGAGGGUGAACUGCCACAUUUGGACUGAGACACGGCCCCGACGCCGACGGGAGGCAGCAGUGGGGAAUCUGCCGGAAUGGACUAAAGUCGGACGAAGCAACGCCGCGGGAGUGAGGACGGCCUUCGGGUUGUAAAGCUCUGUUAAUCGGGACGCGGUACCGGAAUAGAAAGCCACGGCUAACUACGUGCCAGCAGCCGCGGUAAUAC